GAGGCGCGGAAAUGCAAGCCGAGCCUGCUGGAGUGAAAGCCCCCGGGGCCUGGCACCCCCGAAAACGACCUCCCACCUUAAUCCCUGCCCCCAUCGCCCACGGCCCCCAUGGGCGACCCCUCUUCUUCCUCUUCCUUCAUUUACCCCACCUCGUUACCUACGUGGCUGACCCAAAUUCAAAGCAUUUUGUGUAUAUAUAAUUUUUUUUUCUUUUCCGCUAUGUCUUGUUUUUUUUUGGGGGGGGGGGAGAAAUCCUCUCUAGAGCCGUAAGCGGAUCGGCCACACGGAGGAAGCAUUUGGGGGCUCAGGAAGAAAUUAGCGCAGCUCCAUACCUGUACGGACUACAUAACUUUUAAACUACUGGACUCAAAGGAUCCACAUACACACAGGUACAGGAAAUACAGCCAGACCAAAGCCUUUUCAGACCCAAGCUGACCGGAAGACGUUGCCUUUCAUUCAUUCAUUCUGCCCGCGUCCGUGGAGUCCUUUACUAGGCGAGAAGCCCUAGAAGAGAAGUUGGAUAUUUUUUAAAGGUCCCUGCGCUCUCCAAGAAGAGGAAAUAGAUGCUCAGGAGUGAACUACCGAGAGAAUCGGAUCUGGCGCCUCCUAACGCAGCUGGCAAACAUGCGAAGGAUCAAAGUCCAAAAGGCUGAGCACACACCCACAUACCCUAGCCACUAGAUGGAGCCACACAUAGUCCUUGGAGGCACUGCUGGGAUGGGCAGCCCGGGUUCCAAGUCGGAUUCUCCACUGGCUUCUUUGGUGUACUUUGAUAUUUACUGAGCAGUGUGCCAAGCAACCCUCUAGAUGCUAGAGUUGUGAAACCGACAGCGACGGUCCCUGCCCUCCUGGAGCUGAUACCCUAGGGAACAGUUCUUACCUCAGUACUCUAGCCUCACUUCACCUCUCCCCUCUAUUAUUCUGUAGCUAAAUUGGCCUCCUAAUGUUCCAACAGGCAGAUAUUGUUGCUUCAGAGUCUUUGUAUCUGCUAUUCCCUUCCGCCCCAGGAAAGCAGGUCCCUGCUUCUUUGCAUUGCUGGUUCAGGUCUCAGCUCAAAAGUGACCAAGUCAGAAAAAUGUGAACUUAUUUUGUUCGUUGACUGCCUAUUCUCUUCACUAAUUUGUAAGAUUCCGUGAAAGUUACUAUUUUCUUGGAAUCCCUCAGCCUAACGCUUAAUCGGUGCACAGUAAACUUACUGAACGGGCUUCUUAUCCUGUAUCCCAGCUUGUUUCUGAGGAUAGUGAACUGUAAAUGAACGAACUGGACAAAACAUACCACAAAUCUCAGCCCUGAAAAAAAAAAAAAAGCCAUUGCACACUACCUGUGCCCCCUUUCUCUGCUUUAUCUUUCUUUUCUUUCUUUUUGAUCUGCUUUACUUUUCUAUACUCUUAUACCUUCUAAACUAUUAUAACUUACUCCUUGGUGUUUGCGUGUCCCUGCUACUAGACUAGAAUGUAAGCUUCACGAAGGCAGGGGAUUUUGUCCAUUUGAUUCACCACCCGACCCUCAGUGCCCAGAACAGUGAUGGCACCCAGGAGUCGCUCACUUUGGCCACCUGAUGCGAAGAACGGACUCAUCUGAAAAGACCCUGAUGCUGGGAAGGAUUGAAGGCGGGAGGAGAAGGGGACGACAGCGGAUGAGAUGGUUGGAUGGCAUCACCGACUCA